rnacentral:rRNA from 1 species
AGUGAACGCUGGCGGUAGGCCUAACACAUGCAAGUCGAACGGCAGCACAGUAAGAGCUUGCUCUUACGGGUGGCGAGUGGCGGACGGGUGAGGAAUACAUCGGAAUCUACUUUUUCGUGGGGGAUAACGUAGGGAAACUUACGCUAAUACCGCAUACGACCUACGGGUGAAAGCAUGGGAUCUUCGGACCUUGCGCAAUUGAAUGAGCCGAUGUCGGAUUAGCUAGUUGGCGGGGGAAAGGCCCACCAAGGCGACGAUCCGUAGCUGGUCUGAGAGGAUGAUCAGCCACACUGGAACUGAGACACGGUGCAGACUCCUACGGGAGGCAGCAGUGGGGAAUAUUGGACAAUGGGGGAAAGCCUGAUCCAGCCAUACCGCGUGGGUGAAGAAGGCCUUCGGGUUGUAAAGCCCUUUUGUUGGGAAAGAAAAGCAGCAGGUUAAUACCCCGCUGUUCUGACGGUACCCAAAGAAUAAGCACCGGCUAACUUCGUG